ACUGGUAGAUGAGCAUCUUUUCAUCAAAUUGCCAUGUCUUUCACUAGUGUAAGAAUAUGAAGAAUGCAGUUCAUGGUGCCAAACUCCUCUCAGUCAGUAUUAUUUGUUGUUGUAAUAUGUUUAAGGUGUGCGACUGAAUAGCCUGCUGGGAAGGAAAGGAAGCUUGUAGAAAAUGAACAAUUACUGGGAUGUUGGUCAGUUCUUCAUAGUCAGCAUGUUGGCUAGUGAUAUUGGGAAAGCAGUCCAAGCAUCUGAGCGCCUCUUUAAACUCAAGCCUCCUGUUUGGUCGGUAUGUUUAAAAUCCAUCCUGAAAUCCCCGAAUCCCUAUCAGCAGAAGCCAAAGCUUUCAUCCUGCUCUGUUUUGAGCCUGAUCCUGUGAAACGUGCUACAGUAACUGAUCUACUUACAGAUUCUUUCCUAAAGCAGUCAAAUAAGGGCAAGAAGAGUAAAAUUGCUUUCAAACCUUCAGAUCAACAAGGUAUUACGGAAUCACUUAAUUCGUCCACAUUGGAUGUUCACUAUGGACAAUAUCAUACGCCGUGCAGUGCAGGCAGCGGUUACCAUCCUUA